GUUGCUGUACCCCCUCCCACUGCUGCACCCCCUCCCGCUCCUCCAGUCGUUCCGGGAGUGAUGACUGUUGCCCAGUUGGUUCAACAGCCCGGUCGUGAGCAUCUUCCCUAUCUCACUCCGUGUCCAAAGGGACGACGUCAAACAUGGUUCAACCGAUCCGGAAAUGAGAUCAGCGCAUGGAUCAACAAUAUGAUGUACUCGAACCUCAGCAAGGGAUAUCCGACUUUCACUCACUUCCCUGCCGAGGACUAGGAGAUGUGGUUUCGUCAGUUUGCGCAAGAGUUCACCUGGAAUCCCGAUCACACGAACUUUAUCCGUGACGCCUUCGUCCAUAAAGUUAUGGACAACUAUGGGAAGCAGAUCUACGAGUGGAAGCAGAAGUGGCUCAU